UUCAGAGUAUGGCUUAUGGGCUGUAUUACAAGUCAGAUCCCACAACUAUCAGGUCCCUUCAGAGUAUGGCUUAGGGGCUGUAUUACAAGUCAGAUCCCACAAGUUUCAGGUCCCUUCAGAGUAUGGCUUAGGGGCUGUAUUACAAGUCAGAUCCCACAAGUUUCAGGUCCCUUCAGAGUAUGGCUUAGGGGCUGUAUUACAAGUCAGAUCCCACAAGUUUCAGGUCCCUUCAGAGUAUGGCUUAUGGGCUGUAUUACAAGUCAAAUCCCACAAGUUUCAGGUCCCUUCAGAGUAUGGCUUAUGGGCUGUAUUACAAGUCAGAUCCCACAAGUUUCAGGUCCCAACAAUGUUACUCAUCCCGAAUUCUGUAAGGACCCAAAACUUCUCGGGUUCAUCUGGUAACACGGCCCUGUAAAUGAUUCUUCGUCAGGUUAUUAAAUGAAUACAAACACUUCCACUGCACAUUUGAAUACAAUUACGAUCACUGUUAUUUAUAUUAAUAUCUUGAAUAUGAAUACAAAGGAACCUAUAAGUACUGUGAUCAGACCUACUCAAAUAUGGACACAGCAUGCAAAUUCUCCAUAUGUGAAAAAGCAACUCAGUGAAUCCCUUUUUUGGCCUUUGGAAAUGGUUGACGUGACAGGCGGAGGUGUGUGUCAAAAUACCGCCCUUAGCUCUUAGGCCCAGACACCUCACAAGGCCUGGGAUCGCAUUCUUAAACAUUUCGACGCCCAAGCAGACAUAUUUGACAGGGCUUUCGUAGUGGUUUGGGGCAUUUCCAGGGGUAGUUUUAUGGCCCUGGUGGUAGUUUGACCCUUCCUCUGUACCAUGAACCUACAGAAACACUUAUUAGAACCUGACUGAUCUACUUUUUGACCUUGGGAAAUGGUUGAUGUGUUAGUUAAUACCAGUCCUUACUCAACCAUGGAUCCAGAUACUGUUGUUAUGGGUCCAGCUUAUGGGAAUGGCUUAUAGAACAUCACACAGCUCUACAACACCUCACCUCUGUACCACUUCUUCCUUGGUCUUUUAUUUCAACAUUUUCCCAUCCUUCCUUCUCCCCAUGUGACCGAACCGCCCCGCCCCCUUUUUUUCUUCUCCUUUACAUAUAUUAUGGGUUAUGGUACGCUGCCCUGCCCUCUGACACCAUACCUCUGUGCCAUUUCUUCACUCAGUACUCAGUCUCCUCCAUUUGAGACCAGUCCUGCACCUCAGCGUUCUCCUGUCUUCAGCGUCAAGGCCUGUGUGUGUGUGUGUGUGUAUGUGUGUGUGUGUGUGUGUGUGUCCCAUCCCUACCCUUCCCACCCACUCACAACACUACCCAUGGAGAUACUACUAACACAGCCUCUACCAAAACCUUAACAAAUACCCACAGUGUCUACCAAGCCAGAUUCGUGUGUGUGUGUGAGCCCCAAAAUGGUUGAUAAUGUGAGCUUAAGUGUGAGGAGGGACAUGGGGGAGGAGCUUCUGUGUGUCUGGGUUGGGCAAGAUUGGUGCCUUCAAGUUAGAGGAGCAGUGCUGAGGAGUCUCCUGUGAACGGACUUUGCUUUUUGUGGGCUUUUGAAAUGGUUAAGGGUCUCUUUCACAGUCAUUUUGUUUGGAUGUCACCCAGGCCCUGUGUCCCGGGGUGAUGGGCUCUUACUCAGCACAGGCUCAAAGGGCCAACGGAUCAGAGAUGAGCACCACAGCCACACAGCCCCAGCGUGUGCACCCAGUGACCCAGCUUGACCAUCACCGCAGCCCAGAGGUCCCUUUCCCUAUUCCUCCACCUUAUUCUCUGCCUGUCUGGCGUUAGUGUGCUCCAUCCUGUGCUGGUACUGAUUCCAAUGUCGUGUCCACCUGGUCCUCUGUCUGCCUUGAUUUACAUAACUUCUGGGUUGGGUGUUAUUUUGUUCCUCCAUAAUGCAGUGGUCAGCAGGCCUAGCUACAAAUCUGUGGGCCUGGGUUUGGAUCCUGUUCCAGGCACUCAUCAUGCAGCCCAGCCAUCUGUUGGUGCUCCCUCUGUGGUGUCUAAAUGUGUGGCUGUGUACACCUGGGGGGCGGCACACUGUGGCAACCCGGGUGUCACACUGGCCAUGUAUACCAGAGUGAUGGCUUCAGACCACCACAGGGUACUGGAAUGGUGUGACAGAAUUGAGCACUGAGGCCAUGUGCAGUUGUUGCGUACGCCUCCACCUUUACCUUCCAUGGUCUUCCGUCUGCCCUGACUUCUACAGCUCCUGGGUUGUUGGUGUGUUAGUACUUUUGUUGGUCAUCUGAUAGCAUUUGUACACACGGCCAAGUCCUUUUUCUAUUCCUAACUCUUGAACACACACUGGAUGAGGCUGUGCGGGAGAGAGGCAGGCAGUGGGUGCUCUCUGUAGUGGGGGUUUGAGGUGUGUCCUCUUAGUGUAAUGGUGUCCCUGUAUAUACAACAACAAUGAUAAUAAUUACAGUAACAAUAAGCAAAUGAAUGUAGGUUAGGGACUUUUUUUUCUACACCUGCUAGAAAUAUGCAACAUGUUUGUGUGAAUAUAACAACAACAGGAAUGAUUAUAAUCCCUUGCCUUUCAUCUCCAUGCCAUGUUCAUCCUCAUUCUUGCGGGGGCUUCGUGGUGCAGUGGUUAGCACACUCGGCUCACAACCGAGAGAGCCCGGGUUCGAUUCCCGGGCGGAGUGGAAAAAUUUGGGCGGCUUUUCUGAUACCCUACGCCCCUGUCCACCCAGCAGUGAAUGGGUACCAGGUAUUAAUCGGGGGUUGUGUCCCGUCUCCUGUUCCCUUCUCCUAUAAUUCCUUCCCCUUCUGUCUCUCUCCGGCAUAUGACCACAGAUGUUGCACCGACUAAACGAAACUUUCCAACUUUUUCCUGUCUCCUGGGGUCUGUUCCCUUCUCCUAUAAUUCCUUCCCCUUCUGUCUCUCUCUCUCCGGCAUAUGACCACAGAUGUUGCGCCGACUAAACGAAACUUUCCAACUUUUUCCUGUCUCCUGGGGUCUGUUCCCUUCUCCUAUAAUUCCUUCCCCUUCUGUCUCUCUCCGGCAUAUGACCACAGAUGUUGCACCGACUAAACAAAACUUUCCAACUUUUUCCUGUCUCCUGGGGUCUGUUCCCUUCUCCUAUAAUUCCUUCCCCUUCUGUCUCUCUCCGGCAUAUGACCACAGAUGUUGCGCCCACUAAACAAAACUUUCCAA